AAUUUUUAUGAAAGUAAAGAACUGUUAGUACUCCCCUUGACCAGGACAGGAGAUGUACUUGAGUCUAAAAUCAUACAUAUGGUGAAAGCAUUGUCACCUACUUUUUGGUGUUUUAAACAUUGUCAUUGU